rnacentral:rRNA from 1 species
CACGGGAGUUGCGAGCGUUGUCCGGAAUUAUUGGGCGUAAAGGGCAGGCAGGCGGAUCCAUAAGUUUAUCGUUUAAGGCGUCGGCUUAACCGGCGUAGGGCGGUAGAUACUGUGGAUCUGGAAUGCGGUUGGGGAAGACAGAAUUCCUGGUGUAGCGGUGGAAUGCGCAGAGAUCAGGAGGAAUACCGAAGGCGAAGGCAGUCUUCCAAGCCGUUAUUGACGCUCAACUGCGAAGGUGUGGGUAUCAAACAGGAUUAGAUACCCUGGUAGUCCCU